GUGCUCACUUUGGCAGCAUAUAUACUAAAAUUGGAACUACCAGAAAAGAUUAGCGUGGCCCCUGCAAUGACAUGCAAAUUCAUGAAGCAUUCCACAUUUUU
ensembl:snRNA U6 U6 spliceosomal RNA